rnacentral:rRNA from 1 species
UACGGGGGGGAGCAAGCGUUGUUCGGAUUUACUGGGCGUAAAGGGCGGGUAGGCGGCCACCGCAAGUCGACUGUGAAAUCUCCGGGCUUAACCCGGAAAGGUCAGCCGAUACUGCGGGGCUAGAGUGCAGAAGGGGCAACUGGAAUUCUCGGUGUAGCGGUGAAAUGCGUAGAUAUCGAGAGGAACACCUGCGGCGAAGGCGGGUUGCUGGGCUGACACUGACGCUGAACUGCGAAAGCUAGGGGAGCGAACGGG